UUUUUUCAAAAGAGCUAAUGAAUUAUAUUAUUUGUUGUUGCAUAAACAUUAAUAAUUUUUUAUUAGUGGAGAAAUUCCAUUCGUUUUUAUAGGUAUCUGGUUUUUUAAGAAAUAAAUUUAAUUUAGGCAUUUUUAUUAAAUAUUUAAUUUAAUAAAUAUUUAUUUGAAAUUGCUAAUUUAGUAGGGGAUAAGCUCUACUAAAUUUCUAUAACUUUCUUUAUAAUUAAUUGUAGUAGGGUUAAAAUCAUCCAUCUUUUAAUUACGUUAUAGUGUAUAUUAAAUUAUUAUUGAUUUAUUUUUUGUUUAGUAUAUUAUUAAAAUUUAAUGAUCAAUUAUAUAUCAUUAGUAAUAAUGAUUAAAUUAGUAUAAUUUUAUGUUUUAUAUUUAUUAAAUGUUACUAUUAAAUAAGGAACUCGGCAAAUAAGCGCUCGCCUGUUUAUCAAAAACAUGUCUUCUUGAUUUUUAUAGGAAGUCUGACCUGCCCAGUGAAUAUAAUUUUUUAACGGCCGCGGUAUUUUGACCGUGCAAAGGUAGCAUAAUCAUUAGUCUUUUAAUAGAAGGCUGGCAUGAAUGGUUUGACGAGGUGCUGACUGUCUCAUUUAAUUUUUUAUUAGAAUUUAACUUUUUAGUUAAAAGGCUAAAAUUUGUUUGGAAGACGAGAAGACCCUAUAGAGCUUUAUAAUAUUUUUAUUUAAUCAUAUUUAGUUUAAUUUCUUUGGUUAUUUAUAUUAUUAUUCUGUUGGGGUGACAAAAAUAUAUAAUUAACUUUUUUAUUUAUAUAACAUUAAUUUAUGAUUUAUAGGAUCCAUUUUUAGUGAUUAUUAGAUUAAGUUACCUUAGGGAUAACAGCGUAAUCUUCUUUCAGAGUUCAAAUUUACAAGAAGGCUUGCGACCUCGAUGUUGGAUUAAGAUUAUAAUUAGGUGCAGCCGCUUAAUUUAUAGGUCUGUUCGACCUUUAAUUUCUUACAU
rnacentral:rRNA from 1 species